rnacentral:rRNA from 1 species
GACGACGCUGGCGGUGCGCCUAAUGCAUGCAAGUCGAACGAGGCCUAGGAGCUUCGGCACCUAGGUAAGUGGCAGACGGCUGAGUAACACGUAAGUGACCUGCCCCGAAGAGGGGGAUAAUCCGGAGAAAUCCGGCCUAAUACCCCGUACGCUCCUGUGGUUACGGCCAUGGGAUGAUAUGGUUUAUCGGCUUCGGCCGGUACGCCGCUUUGGGAGGGGCUUGCGGCCUAUCAGGUAGUUGGUGGGGUAAUGGCCUACCAAGCCGAAGACGGGUAUCCGGUGUGAGAGCACGAACGGACAGAGGGGGACUGAGACACGGCCCCCACUCCUACGGGAGGCAGCAGCAGGGAAUCUUGCGCAAUGGGCGAAAGCCUGACGCAGCGACACCGCGUGGGGGAAGAAGGCUUUCGGGUUGUAAACCCCUUUUCUCGGGGAAGAGAGAGGACGUUACCCAAGGAAUAAGCAUCGGCUAACUACGUGCCAGCAGCCGCGGUAAUACGUAGGAUGCGAGCGUUGUCCGGAUUUACUGGGCGUAAAGGGCGAGUAGGCGGAUUGUUAAGUCUCAUGUGAAAUCUCCCGGCUUAACUGGGAGGGGUCAUGGGAAACUAACAAACUUGAGGGCAGCAGAGGAAAGUGGAAUUCCCGGAGUAGCGGUGAUAUGCGUAGAUACCGGGAGGAACACCCGAGGCGAAGGCGACUUUCUGGGCUGUACCUGACGCUGAGGCGCGAAAGCAUGGGGAGCGAACCGGAUUAGAUACCCGGGUAGUCCAUGCCCUAAACGAUGGAUACUAGGUAUGGGGGGUAUCGACCCCCUCCGUGCCCAAGCUAACGCGAUAAGUAUCCCGCCUGGGGAGUACGGCCGCAAGCUA